rnacentral:rRNA from 1 species
UACGUAGGGUGCGAGCGUUGUCCGGAAUUAUUGGGCGUAAAGAGCUCGUAGGCGGCUUGUCGCGUCGGAUGUGAAAGCCCGGGGCUUAACUCCGGGUCUGCAUUCGAUACGGGCAGGCUAGAGUUCGGUAGGGGAGAUCGGAAUUCCUGGUGUAGCGGUGAAAUGCGCAGAUAUCAGGAGGAACACCGGUGGCGAAGGCGGAUCUCUGGGCCGAUACUGACGCUGAAGCACGAAAGCGUGGGGAGCAAACAGG